GAAUCCACUCAUUGUGUAGGCCCACCCUCUUCUAAAUCGCUGUAACAAUGAGAAGGAAAUGCCAGAGGCACGUUUUGUUUGCAUCACUGACCACACAACCAGUCACCUAUAAUCAACAUAGUCUAGAAAGAGAAGGUCUUUGUUUUGUACACCUCUUGAAUGAACAGUCACAUCUUGGGAGUAUUUGUCUUCUAAGUCGAGACACCUGACACAGCCCCCAUUCUAUCUCAUAGAAGUGGGUCUGUGUCUAUUGUCUCUGUGGUUCCAGCCAAUCAGCUAUAAGGACAGGUAUAAAACCUCUGAUGGGUCUUUUAACAAAGAGAUAGAGGACUCGUGUGAUGACUUCCACCCAUCAUGGAGCUCUCCCUGUGUUCUCUGUCAGUUCUGACGCUAGUGGCUGUUGUGUUCAUGGUACCAAUGAAAGACAGAAGUGAGGAUGUGUUAAGCUUUUUGAAUGGUGCCCUUGAUGUUGCUCCCGCUACUCAAAGCACCUCAGGAAAAAUCAAAGGUCCUGAAAACACCUUUGGUAAACCAGCUCCAACCCCUGCAAGACCAAGUCCUUUAAGACCAACAGAGAACUCUGCAGAAAUCUCAAAUGUUACGCAGACUGAAAACUCUGCUUGUUUAACAGAUGUUGUAGACUCAGAUGCCAGAUCCAAAGAGAAAUGCAACUCCGAUGAUCUUACAGAUGCAGAACGAUCUGAAAGUAACUCAGCAGAAAGCAGAGAGGAUUAUGAUGACUCUCUGGGAUCUAAUACAAAGAUUACACAAACUGUGACAGACGACAGUAGCAGCGACGAGACUGACAGUUCUCCUCCAAGUGAUGUGAGAAAAUACAAACAACCUCCAGGAAGGAGAACCAUAAACCCAGACCAUGUCGACAGCAUGCAGACAACCACCAGGCAGGAUCCAACCAAUGGGAGCGAGGAGCUGGAUAGAGAGACUCAGAGGGACCCCACAGUGGGGAGAGAGAGAACCAGCAGAGUGCUCAUUGAUCUCAACAGUGAAGAGGAUGUGAUGGUGGGCUGUCAGGGUACUGUCUGUAUGCCCGGAGAGCAGGGGACUACAGUCAAUGGAGAAACCAGAGAUGACAUCAGCACUGAGACGAACCCAGUCGUGAUUGGUUAGCCUCCAGGAGUCCCAGCCAGGAGCCCCAGCCAGGAGCUCCAGCCAGGAGCCUGUCAGUGCCAGAGGCUUCCUCCAGGUAGAGUUGGCUCAGCUCUACCCUGCAGGGCCUGUAAAUCUCCCUGCCUCUCACUCGUGUGUCGUCUCCCUCAAGCUCCACCGACUCUACCAGACCGCAGAGUCCCUCUCACACUUAUAUUCAUGACAGAGACGUCAGUACAUCUGUGGAUAUUUACCACCAAUUUUUCACUUGAUCUUGAAAUGGUAUAAAUGGUAUUCUGACAGCAGCUGUGCCCCCUGGUCUUACUGCCGGUAGUCAAUUUGAAUUGUAGGUGAAUGGAAAUACGAUGUUUGGCUCCAAUCUGAUCUGAUCAAUCUGAUGAAAUAAAGGUUUCUCAUAAAGCAUUGUUUGUUGUACUAAUUAGAGGUAAUUCAAUAAAAGGCUGUGUAUACAUGCAAAUUCACAAUUGUAAGGAAAGACAAUACAUUGUUUGAAGGCAGAAUGUCUUACAGUGUUACACAACUGCUUGGACUACAUGACCAUUCUACACAGAACAUUUUCUACAUUUCAACUUCACCCAAUCAUUCAACUGUCAACUUGGCCCAUACAAACAACAUUUGGUAACUUUGUAUAAAAUAUAAUAUGUCAGUGAUUCAACAACGGAAGAAAAAUAUGUUGACAGAACAUGUCACUGUUACCUUCUUGCUGCGGCAGCAAUUUUCCAGACAUGAACGCUUCUCUCAUCCAACAGUGUUUUAUAGUGAUCUCUCCCAUGUGUUGGAGUUGACAUGGGGUGACUGCCCUGACACAUCAGCCUUGCUGUUUGCACACAGGCAGUAACACAUGUACUGUGGCCUGAGGCACAGCUUCAACAUCAACUGCUGUGCUGAGCAAAACCAGUGGCACAGAAUGAGGAGCAGCUGAUUACAAAAUAUACAUACAUGAUGAGCUUGUGACCCUCGCGUGAUGAGUUACCUUGUCUGAGACCUGAGGACUUGUGGUAGCUCCCUGAGCUGAUGUCUAGGCUUUAGCUUAGCAGGCUACCAUAGUCUUGUGUCACGAUUGGUAGAAAGUAAAUUCACUGGACCUUACAGCUGGAAUCCCCAGUAGGUGGAAACAUUGCCACUGGCCGCCCCAACACCGUUGUUAUUGUUUUUGUUGCCCAGCUGAGGAUCAUCAUGAUAAAAACAACUGCAGUACAUAUUGUGCUUUUCUAUCGCACCUGCAAUGUCU
ensembl:lncRNA